CUGGUUAUCGGGCAAAAUCCGGAUAACCAAGGCUGAGGUGUGAUGACGAGGCACUACGGUGCUGAAGUAACAAAUGCCCUGCUUCCGGGAAAAGCCUCUAAGCAUCAGGUAACAUCAAAUCGUACCCCAAACCGACACAGGUGGUCAGGUAGAGAAACAAGGCGCUUGAGAGAACUCGGGUGAAGGAACUAGGCAAAAAUGGUGCCGUAACUUCGGGAGAAGGCACGCUGGUGUGUAGGUGAAGUCCCUGCGGGUGGAGCUGAGACCAGUCGAAGAUACCAGCUGGCUGCAACUGUUUAUUAAAAACACAGCACUGUGCAAACACGAAAGUGGACGUAUACGGUGUGACGCCUGGUGCCGGAAGGUUAAUUGAUGGGGUUAUCCGUAAGGAGAAGCUCUUGAUCGAAGCCCCGGUAAACGGCGGCCGUAACUAUAACGGUCCUAAGGUAGCGAAAUUCCUUGUCGGGUAAGUUCCGACCUGCACGAAUGGCGUAAUGAUGGCGGGCUGUCUCCACCCGAGACUCAGUGAAAUUGAACUCGCUGUGAAGAUGCAGUGUACCCGCGGCAAGACGGAAAGACCCGUGAACCUUUACUAGCUUGACACUGAACAUUGAGCCUUGAUGUGUAGGAUAGGUGGGAGGCUUUGAAGCGUGGACGCCAGUCUGCGUGGAGCCAACCUUGAUACCACCCUUUAAUGUUUGAUGUUCUAACGUUGGCCCCUGACCGGGGUUGCGGACAGUGUCUGGUGGGUAGUUUGACUGGGGCGGUCUCCUCCCAAAGCGUAACGGAGGAGCACGAAGGUUAGCUAAUCUGGUCGGACAUCAGGAGGUUAGUGCAAUGGCAUAAGCUAGCUUGACUGCGAGCGUGACGGCGCGAGCAGGUGCGAAAGCAGGUCAUAGUGAUCCGGUGGUUCUGAAUGGAAGGGCCAUCGCUCAACGGAUAAAGGUACUCCGGGGAUAACAGGCUGAUACCGCCCAAGAGUUCAUAUCGACGGCGGUGUUUGGCACCUCGAUGUCGGCUCAUCACAUCACGGGCUGAAGUAGGUCCCAAGGGUAUGGCUGUUCGCCAUUUAAAGUGGUACGCGAGCUGGGUUUAGAACGUCGUGAGACAGUUCGGUCCCUAUCUGCCGUGGGCGCUGGAGAAUUGAGGGGGCUGCUCCUAGUACGAGAGGACCGGAGUGGACGCAUCACUGGUGUUCGGGUUGUCAUGCCAAUGGCACUGCCCGGUAGCUAAAUGCGGAAGAGAUAAGUGCUGAAAGCAUCUAAGCACGAAACUUGCCCCGAGAUGAGUUCUCCCUGAGACUUUAAGUCUCCUGAAGGAACGUUAAAGACGAUGACGUUGAUAGGCCGGGUGUGUAAGCGCAGCGAUGCGUUGAGCUAACCGGUACUAAUGAACCGUGAGGCUUAACCUU
rnacentral:rRNA from 1 species